GGCCUAUUAGCUCAGUUGGUUAGAGUGUCGUGCUAAUAAUGCGAAGAUAGCACGUUCAACCCCUGCAUGGGCCA